AUUCCACUCACUCUGGAAACAAAAUAAGAGGGUGCCUUCUUCAAGAAAAUGUUAUUUGUUUGUUUUCUCCUUUUAGUCUUGAACAUAUUUUGAGAACAGAUUUAUUAUUAUGAGAAUUAACACUAAGGUAUGUAUUUUAUAAACGUGUUACAAAUUCCUUCGAACUAAUUAUACAUCGCUCAAGGGUUUCUGGGGGUUUGGACACAAUAGGGUAAAGUGCUCAUGUAAGUAUUCUCUGAAUAAUAUCUAGAGUUAGAAUCACAUUUUAAUGUAUUUUUUCAUAAAUUGUUAACAUUUAAAUUAGUUGCAAAUGAAUACCAUGCUGUAAAAAGUAAUACGAGUGCAUUUGCUGUCAAUGGCUAAACACACUUUGCUAGAUUAUCAAGCUAAUCUGAACUACAGGUGUGCAUGCAUCUUAAAAGAAAGAGGUUGUACUUGGAUAAAGACGUCUGCCAAAUAAACUAAUAAUAAUACUUUAGUUGAUUUACUAUUGACACGAAGAUGAUGUACUGCAGUGCAAUAUUUUAUUUUUUGCGAAAUUCAUAUAGCACAGGUUAUAGCACGAACUUUUAUUAUUGAUAUUAUUCUUUUAAAUGUGUAGUUCCAGAAUGUCCUGGUAUUAACAGCAGCAGCUUUAAACAUUACAUUGCUAUCCUACAUAAUUUACUUUUUCAAUACUGGCAGGACUACAUUUAAUUUCUCAAAGUGAUAGAGUUCUCAACUUUAUUUCUACAUGUAUCACCAAUUGCCAUAUGAUUCCAAGUUAACAAAUGAUGAAUACACUUUGGAAUACAGUGUAAAUGUACAUUGUGGUGGGAUGUCAACACAUAAUACCAAGAAUUAUAAAAACAAUAUUGUCUAAAUUUAAAUUGAACAAAAAAUACACACAGAAAACAAAGAGGUGGGAUUUUAUGAUAAAGUUUAAUUCCAGUCAUUAUCAAGAACAGUGAUGUACUGUACAGUCCCUCUUGCAGAACAAUUAAACUGGGCCAAAUAUGUUUUCCUGUUAAAUAUAAAUUAAGGUAGUGUUGCUGUUCAGUUACUGUGCAGGCUAUUUUUCACAGUUUAAAACUCCUUAAAUGUUAACAUAUGUUUAGCUGUCUGUCUGUCCGUCAGUCAGUUAGUCAGUCAAUCAGUCUAUAGAACUGCCACUAAAAGCUGUGAUUAGCCUGGGUGUUAUAUAAUCAUGAAUUUUCCAAAGCAAAUAAAUAAAAGUACUGUAUUUGCACUUUUUACUACAUGUUAAAAAUAGAAACCACUGGUAUGUGUUUGUCUGACCAUUUGAACAGCUACAUAUUUAUGCUGAACUGUGUAUUUUGAAGAGACUGGAAAAUCUAUAUAAAAAACCCCAUAUUUAAGUUGUUUUGCAAAUUUAAGCACUUUUAAAAAAAAAUAAAAAAAACAAACGUUAUUAUUUAGCAUAUUUCAUAUUUAGUAAUUGCACUUUGAUUGGAAGUGUAUUCGGUAUGUAUAUUUUCUAGAUGUUACUGUUGUGUAGAAUAAUACUGUUAACUUGCUUUUAUUGUCACAGUAAUUACAUUCUAACACCAUAUCUUGGUUAACAGACCUUUUCUUCUCUAAAAGUAAUUUUAUACUUAAUCUAGCACAGUUUGUACUAUUACAGCAACACUACUUUAGUGUACAAAUUUGGGUUUACAGAAUCUCUGUUGUAAAAUGUUUUUGCUGUGGUGCUUUAAACUGAGCUCAUGCUGUUGUUUCCUGUGGAGCGUACUGUUUUGAAUGAUACCUCACUGAUGCUGUUAAAUGCCUUCACAAAAUGGUUCUAUUACAAAAAAAAAGUAAUUACAUUUUCUAACUUGUUUUAAACCGAAAUAACAUUAGCUAAAAUACAAAGUUUCUGUUUUGUUUUUUUUUUCUUUUUGUGUGUGUAACCCUUAAUUACAAAUCGCAGCAACACUUUUUGGUAUAUACUGUACAGUGAAACAUACAUUAUCUAAACUUUUAGCAAACACUCUGUUUUCCUCUGCCCUAUUACAGGACAUAUGGCUAUGUCCUCUAGCUCAGCACAUUCAUAUUUAAUUAUGUAUUUCAUUUUGCAGAGGUGGUAUUGUAAUUAAAGAUUCUUGAUUGGGAAUGCAUAUUAACAUUGUAACCAUUCUAAUCUGAACAAAUAGAGUUUAUAAAUACAAUACCUCCAGGUCCCAGUCAGUUAAUUGAGGUUUCACUGUAUUUUAUGAUUUUCGACCCAGGCUGAAACAUGCAGAAGUGCAGUUAGUCCCUCAGUGAUGCAGACGAACUAUAAUUAUCAAUUGCUUCUUGGUCUCCUUUUACUAAACCCAGUGACUUCUGCUUUUGAAAGAUGUGUUUCUUUGAUUAAAGAAGAUAGCAACCUGCUAAAACCACCUUUAUCAAAAUAACUGCCUGUACAAUUUUAUUUUUCACAUUUCCAAAUCUAAUCAUUAAUAACUGAGCUAUUGCCUUAAAAUGCUCAUACUGCUGAGAAUAGACAAGAACAGAGUUGUUGGGGCACAUGACAGGAAAUAAAAUUCAGCUGCAAACAAAAUAUGAUGUAGCAAAUAAUAUUGUUUAAUAGUAUUACUGUUUAUUGUAUAUUCUCAUGUUAUCUGCGUACUGUGACUAGAAGCAUGUACAUGUUUGUAGAACAACAAAGCAUACCACAGCAGAAUGCUUGCCUGUUAGGGUUUCAGCUUUUAAAACCGAAUAUCUUGAGAUUGUUAUCUUGACACUUAGUGAAGAUGUACAGUAUUUGUUAAAUCCUGUCCACAUACUUAUGGACUAAAUGUGACUCCAUUACUAUUCUAACAAAUUUUGAAUAAACUUUUUUUUCAAAA